AUUGAACGCUGGCGGCAGGCCUAACACAUGCAAGUCGAACGGUAGCACAGAGAGCUUGCUCUCGGGUGACGAGUGGCGGACGGGUGAGUAAUGUCUGGGAAACUGCCUGAUGGAGGGGGAUAACUACUGGAAACGGUAGCUAAUACCGCAUAACGUCGCAAGACCAAAGAGGGGGACCUUCGGGCCUCUUGCCAUCAGAUGUGCCCAGAUGGGAUUAGCUAGUAGGUGGGGUAACGGCUCACCUAGGCGACGAUCCCUAGCUGGUCUGAGAGGAUGACCAGCCACACUGGAACUGAGACACGGUCCAGACUCCUACGGGAGGCAGCAGUGGGGAAUAUCGCACAAUGGGCGCAAGCCUGAUGCAGCCAUGCCGCGUGUAUGAAGAAGGCCUUCGGGUUGUAAAGUACUUUCAGCGGGGAGGAAGGCAGUACGGUUAAUAACCGUGUUGAUUGACGUUACCCGCAGAAGAAGCACCGGCUAACUCCGUGCCAGCCGCCGCCGUAAAAC
rnacentral:rRNA from 1 species